GGGCUAAUAGUUCAGAGGGAGAACGUAUGUCUUGCAAGCAUAUAACUCGGGUUCGAGUCCCGAUUGGUCCA
rnacentral:tRNA from 1 species